GGGACUGAUGUGGAUUUCUGUUUAAUGUGCUGACAAAGACUGAAGAGACAGGUGCACAAACUAAAUUUUCUUUUGCAACCCAGAACUCAUUGUUAUCUACAAUUUCUGAUAGAUAAGAAGAAAAAUG